rnacentral:lncRNA from 1 species
CAGACUCUGUUGGGUACAAGUGACACAGAAAGUCAUCUCAAACUAGCUGAAACACAAAAGCGCAGGAAGGCGGAAGGGAAGGCGGAGACCGGCAAGAGAGGGGAGAAGGCCCGGGGAAGACGCUCGGGACCAAGAUGCGGGGCCCGGGUGCGAGCAGCUGAACCUCUCGGCCCCCAGGCGUGGUGACCUGGGUGGCGACGCUCGUGGAGGCCGAGGAGCUUCUGGACCGGCGCUUCGGGGGACCAAGUGGAGAGGCUGCUGGAGUUGUCGCCUGAGUCCUCCCUUAGUUCUUCGCGCCGGCCUCGCCCACGGCUCCGGGUCCCAGCCGCCACUGCAGUCUCCGCAGCACCGAGCGGGGCUCCACCGACUCGCGACCUCCAGCCUCCGCCUCAAGGGCAGGGAGCGCGGCUGGGUCUCUGGAAAGCCAUUUUUAAAUCACUGCCUCUGCUGCCCCCAUGUGAGGUCGGAGUGUCCUCCCCCGUCUUUGCUUUCAGGUUCUUUCAGGUUCCUUUGGGCAAACCCGCAGCUAAGAGUCCAGCUUGUGAACUUGAACCUGAACUUGCUGAAGAAGCUCCCGGCGGCCCCCUGCUGUCUGCGGCCUUUGUUUGAGGGAGAGGCUGGGGUCACCCGGUUGGGCCGCAUUUCCGGGGCCGUCACCUGUCGGGCUGCCAGGCCGCGCGUACCUUGUCCCAUCGGGGGCUCUGCUCUGCCCCCUGCGCUGAUGACGCGGGUGGAAGGGAGGUAUCAGGGGCACUCUGGGGAGCUGUACCUGGCGGGCACCCCCCAGCUGCUCUCCGUGGGGUACGACACCGAGACCUGGUUGGGCUGCAAGGAGACCGACUGGGAUUCCCGGGCUGGUGGCCGGGGAGACGAAGGCGGGGGGUGAGAGGCAGGAACCCAGGAGGCCCCAGGCCCAGCGCUGUGGGGCUGCUGUUGUCGUUCUGCGUGGAGGUCUGGCCAAACUGGCUUUUGCCCCGAGUGAGGAAUUCCUGCUCUUUUUUGGUUUUGGUAAGAGGUCGCUAUUCACAGAGGGGGCGGGGUUCGUCCCCUCCAGGCGAGUACGGGGCUGGCGGGCGCAGUGCUGCCUUUCUGCUCUGUCUCUUGAUCCCGCUUAGGAUCUUUGUGGCUCCUCUGAGUCUUCUUAGAGAGGCCGUGAAAGAUGGGAAAGGCAGGUUGCUGAAACGCUGCUGCUCGGGGCUGGCAGAGACCCUGGUAUAGGGAAGGCGCACCACUGUGGGUCAGAUCAGCUGACAGUGGGGGUUUUAGGUGAUGGGGUAACCUUACAGUUCGGAUCUCUUAGAACCCAGAAGCAGGUAGGCGAUCGCUGCUUCAUCACACUUCACAGGGAGUCCUGGAUCUUUCCUGUCCGUAACCCAUGGACGCCAUGAUUCAGUAUGGCGGAGGUCCGGGGCUUAAGUUCCUGUUCAUGCUUCCUAAUCAUUCAUGGAUCCAUCACAAUGUGCUCUGAAGGGCCUCUCUUGCUGGGAUUGAGAAGGAUACAUUUUUUGAGCAGGUUUUUAUACUCAAUGGACAUGUAGAAGGGAAUAUAUUCUACUCAGUUCCCCUCCUGCAGCUCCUUGAAAUUCUGUCCAUCAAAAGCAGGGAUCUGCUGACCAGAGGUGACUGCCACAGAAGGUAUCCAGUUUGUAAAAGCUGAAUUUGUUGCUGAAGCCAGAAUUUGCAAUCUUGAUGUUUGUGUUAACAUCCAAGAGCGUGUUUUCUGCCUUUAAAUCUCUGUGGACAAUACGUUUCUGGUGACAGCUUGCACAGCAGACACUUUUGGUAGAAUUUGCUUCAGUCCUUUUUUUUUCUUUCCUGCUGCCAUGAGCAGGUAUUCACAAACUUCUCCUCCUGGCUAGUGUGCUUCAUGACAAAGCAAAGAGAUUCCUCAAUAUCGAUCACAGCAAAUGUUUCACUAUGUUGGGGUGAUCCGAGCCUUCAUGGUUCCUACUUUGUGGAUGGUGUCUGGAGGAGAUCUGCUGAGUCUCAUCAAUGAACUUCACAGCUGCUGCUUUCCCAGUUAAGAGGUCCCAGGCCAACCUUACCUUAGCCAGGUUGCCCUUGACGAUGGUCUCAAGGAUCCUAGCUGCCAGUAAGGGUCCCUUCUCAGCAGAGAUGGCUGAGAGGCCCUGUGGCAUGUGAGACUUACUGCUGGGCUUGGAGUCAAGGUGUCCCAGGUCAGCUUAAUUUCGGGAAAAACUGGUAAGACGCUUGGUUCAAAUCACUUGAAAAGAAAAUCACUUGCAUAGUUCACCUGAAGAAUGGAUCUCUAUAAUGGAAUUAAAGCACAAUGCUGGACAAAAAGUAAGAAAAAGCAACAAACUGAAAGGAAAAAUUGAGUAAAAAGAAUAAAGAACUAGAACUGGCAACCUCAGCCAAGCCAGGGAAUUACAUACAUCUUGGAAUUCCAAAGCAAUGCUUCCUUAUGAGGGCAUAGGAAGAAAUAAAUCUAAUAACAAGGCUGGGAUUAAUUCACGUGGUUUUCUCACAUUUUGGUCUCAAGAACUUUUUACUCUAAAACUAAUUAUUGAGGACCCCAAAGAGCUUUUUAUGUGGGUUAUAGUUAUCAGUAUUUACUUUAUUGGAAAUUAAAACCUGUAGGAUGUUUCAGUGGUCUUUUCUAGUUUGAAGGGUUUAAUAAUUUUUGGCUUUUA